UCGAAGGUAGCAUAAUCAGUAGUUUUUUAAUUGAAAGCUUGUAUGAAUGGUUUAACGAGAUAUUUUCUGUCUCAAAAAAAUUUAUAUAGAAAUUAAUUUUUAAAUUAAAAAGUUUAAAUGAAAUUAAAAGACGAGAAGACCCUAUAGAGUUUCAUAUAAUUUAAUUUAUAAAUUUUUUUUUGAAAAAUUUAAUUUUUAUAAUUUAUUAUAUUUUGUUGGGGUGACAAUAAAAUUUUAUAAACUUUUAUUUUUAUUUAACAAAAAUUUUUGGUUAAUUGAUCCGUUAAUAAUGAUUAUAAGUUUAAAUUACCUUAGGGAUAACAGCGUAAUUUUUUUGUAGAGUUCUUAUCGAUAAAAAUAUUUGCGACCUCGAUGUUGGAUUAA
rnacentral:rRNA from 1 species